ACGCUCGACACCUACGGGGGCAGCAGUGGGGAAUAUUGCACAAUGGGGGAAACCCUGAUGCAGCGACGCCGCGUGAAGGAAGAAGUAUCUCGGUAUGUAAACUUCUAUCAGCAGGGAAGAAAAUGACGGUACCUGACUAAGAAGCCCCGGCUAACUACGUGCCAGCAGCCGCGGUAAUCUGAGCGGGCUGGCAAGGC
rnacentral:rRNA from 1 species